GGGUGCGAUCAUUCCAGCACUAAUGCACUGGAUUCCAUCAGAACUCCGCAGUUAAGCAUGCUUGGGCAAGAAUAGUUCUAAGAUGGGCUUGUCUUAUGACUUUCAUACAUUCAGGCU
rfam:Cephalotus follicularis DNA, scaffold: scaffold4360, isolate: St1.